rnacentral:hammerhead_ribozyme from 1 species
AUCCAAUCGUUGAGUCCCAAAUAGGACGAAACGCGCGUCCUGAAU